rnacentral:sRNA from 1 species
ACCACGCCGACGAGCACGCCGCCCGCCGCCGCCAGCCGCACCUGCCGCCGCUCGCGGUCAGUCGCGCCUGCCGCCGCUCGCGGCUAGCCGUGCCGCCGCUGCCGCUCGCGCCGCCGCCA